rfam:Octopus bimaculoides Scaffold78899_contig_79, whole genome shotgun sequence.
UAAAAGGUCCUUUUCAGGGCCACCAACUACAAAAUUCUUAUCACUG